ACAGUGGGAGAAUGAAAGUAGGAGGAAGGGAGAAGCCAUUUAUUUUCUGCUUCUGGUUGUAGCUUCAGUCAUGCUGGCAGUAAGGACAAUGGAUAACUGAGCAUCUAGAAGAUAGACAACCCACCAACUGACUGGGAAUGACUAUAAAUGGAGUGUGUUUGGGGCCGAAGCAGGUGGUUGAAAAAUGUCUGAAAUGUGUGUGGGCUAGAAUCCAUUUUGUUUUUCUAUGGGUAUAUUCAUUUAACAAGAGCAGUCUCUGCGGAACUGUCAAAAACUGCCUGCCAUCUUUCCAAAUCAUCUCUCUCUUCAGUGACCAUGACUUAAUCCUGAAGGAAAACAAGGUUGAAAGUGUUAAUUUCCUUCUUUGCAUCUAAGCACAUGACAGUUUGGGCUACAUGGAGACUCAGCAGAAGGAUUCACAUACUGGUUGUCAUGAUGCUCUUCCAGACUCACCGGUUUCCUCAAAGGACAUGACUACAGGACGAAGGCCCGAAUGCUCAGUGCGGCACACCUGGGAAGUCACCCUCUUCAUGGUACCAGAGUUCGUAACACUCACCCAAAGUCAACCUAUUCAACAUCCGUUAUCACUAGUCACUGGAUAACCCUAGCGUGGAAGUCUCUGGUAUUUGCCACCUGACUUUGCUACUUUAAAUGUGGCCAGCACACUUUCCUACUGCAUCGUGAUCGGCAUAUAAAAGCCAAUGGCAUUUAUCAUCAAGUAUUAACACCACCAUCACCAAGUUCUCGUGUAGCAUGACUGCAACUCCUAUGGCCAUUUAUUGAGAAUGCAAAGCCUUUGAUGUGCUAGAAACAGAUGCACCUCUGACGCUGAACUUGCUCCCCACUUUAUGGCUCUUCUCAUCUCUCCCGAGCCCCUCAACUUUGGCUCCCUUUCUUCAGGAUGUGACUACUCAGGCAAAGCGGCUCAUUUUUAUCUGACUAUAAAGCCAAACAAACAAAUCUUACAUAACUCUUCUGCCACAUAUUUUAACCUCUUUCUGUUUGGAAUUCAUCUAUAUUUUAACAGCAAGCAAAGCCUCUGAAUAGAGCUUUUGCACAAAGCUGCACCCAGACUGUGGUAUGCCAUGCUACUAAGUUGCCACACAAGUGCCACCCUUCCUGUCACCUAAGCCACAAGGCAAUGAAUAACCCCCAGUUAGAAGUUUAGUCUUCUUUCUUCCUCCAUCUAAACUAAAAUUGUAAAAUACCAGAUCGAUGUGUUAAGAAUGCAGCUUGAAGGUAUGAUACAAUAAGCCAUGCAGUGACUAUGGAGAUCCCAUUGCAAAUCCUUUAAAACGUUUGCCUCGUCUACCUUUUGUCAAUUCUCCCUUGGAUGCUUUUCAUUUUCCAGCACAUCAUUUCUGCCGAACGGGAGAAGUGAUGAUAUUGGGCUUGAUGGGAGGCUGUGCUGCCAUGUCCGCUCUCCUGGAGUCCAGUGUGGAGGAGGAGUCCAGCUUGCCCUGAACUCUGCUCGGUCAGUUCCCUUCACCCACUGUUCAACACCUCACCCUGACCCAUUCCUUCACAAACUUGACAAGAGAGAGCAGAAAACUCUCCUUUUUGUCCUUCAUUCAUUCAUUAGAGGUGAACUGCAGACUUAACUAACCACAAAGCACUAAACUUCACCAUGAGGAUCACGAAGGAAUUAUGAAAGAACAUCAGAUGUCUGUUCUGAAAGGGUCACCUCUGCACACACAUGUCCUCUCCCUCGGACUCAUAAUUUGAUAGGCAAGCUGCAGAAGGUGCUUCCUUCUUUGGAAAACUGCACUGAGUUAUAAAAGCUGGGGAGUUGGAAUUUAGCACCUUUUCUAGAUUUGCUUUCUUUCUUUCCCUUACAUAUACUUCAUGUGGAAACCAGCUGUACUAUUUAGCAUCCCCUUAGCCCAACCUGCCCUUUUCUUUCUUCAAAACUCAUGGAAGGGAUGUCCUUCUUUUAUAUCAGCACCCUGCUCUGCCUACUGCCACUCCCCACCCCCUGUCAUUGGAAACACAUUUCUUCUAUUUCAAAAGCACAUUUUAAAUAUGUCUUCCUUUCAUCUGGAUAAAAUUCUCUUUUGCCUGGAGACUCAGAGAAAGUGACAGAAAUCAACAAACUUUGCAGUCUACAGGCUCUCAUUCUGCACUUUGGCCCUAGUGCUUACUAACCAUGUCCCCCUGGAAAAGCUACCAGGGCUCUCUGAGCCUCAGUUUCCUCAUCUGCAAAAUGGAGAUGGUAAUAUUGCAAAGGAGUCAUGAUUUUUUGAUUAGGUAGUUUACAUAAAUGGCCUAGCAUAGUGUUUGACUCCUGAAAUGAUUGUCAGUGUCCCUUCUUGGAAAACUCCAUUAUUAAAUUCUGUUUGAUGUAACUAUUUGCAGGAUUACCUCCUGUGUUAAAAUCCUAGCCACUUGAGAAUAGGCACCACAGCUCAUUCACAUGGGGUUCCCUGCAGCCUUGAACAAAGCUUUGUGCCUAGCAGAUGCUCAGGCACAUCACUGGCUGCAUCAACAUGUUAUUGUGAAAAUACAAAUGAUCAGAGGUCUGUGAAGAGUCAGGCUUAGAGGUGAAAGGAGGGCCUGGGUAUAAAGCUACGUUCUUUAAAGUCUUUGCUGAGUUCAGCAAGGUUCUUGAGGCAGGGUAGCUGCAAGUAGUUGCAGUUGCAUUAAAUGAGCCAGGGUAGUUGCAGGGAGAAAGUGGCAGGCUCAUGAAAUUUAGGGCCCCAGGGUGACCUUAACCUGGGUCACAGGCAAGAUGAAUCAGAAGAGAAAACAGAGACAAAGCUAGCUCCUCUCAGAUCCUUAGACAUUCCAAACAAGGGGGAGACUCAGUCUUUCCUGAUUAAUCUUUAGUGAUUUAUUCUUUGGACAUCAUUUAAAAGGAGCAUUUUAAAGUAAAUUAAUUGAACUCCCAUGACCUUUUACCCUACAUGUAUCAUCAAAAGAAACUAGAUCUUGAAAUUAAAAAAAAAAUACUUGAUUUAUUUUCUGUGACUUACAAACUACUGAGGAAUGUCAGUUGGGUUUUUAUUUUUUGAAAUUAUAAAUAAAAACUCCAGUCUUUUCAGCAGUUAGUUGAAACAUCCCAACUGUAACAAAUAAGUGUUGAGUGAGGAGUAUCAUAAGAGGAGAAGUAAUAAAUACAGAACCUAAGAUACAUAGGUAGAGGAAAGUAUUGGUUGUCUUAAAAAAACAGCUAUUGCCCCUUUUACCUCUCUGGCCUGAUAUUAUUCCUGAGUUCACCCCUCUUCAACAUGACUUGGGUAAAUUUUCAUUAAUAUAAGCUGGUGUUUUCCAAAGUACAGGCAGGGGUCUAUUAGGGAAUUGUAAAAUCAGUUUAGUAGUUGGAUUAUUAUUAUUAUCAUUAUUUUUGAUUAAUGAAUAUAGCAGUAAAGAGAAUAAAACAGAAUAGAAAAUAUAUGAAUGCAUUGCAUAGUAAGGAUGAGUUUUAUAAAACUUUCAUUUGUGCUUUAUAUAUGCAUUACGAAAUGCGUUUAUGUGUGUACUGAGCUGGGGUGUACAAUGUAUUUUUCACAGUCAUUUCUCAAAAACUUUGGAAGCUGUUGAAUCCUGCAGGCCUCAUGGUGAUUUGUUUGCAAAUUGCUGGGUGAUGGUGAUAUGGCUCUGGCCCAUGAGACAUCAAAGGAGAUGUGGUGGGGAAGGCUGGGAAAAAAUUCCUCACCCAAACGCAUGAUACACUGUGGACCUACUGUCCUCUCUUUCACUGGGUGUUGCCAUGUCUAUAUGUGCUUCCUGGUACUGUGGCUCCAUCUUACAACUACAAAAGCAGCUCACAUGAGAUCAUGUUGAACAUAACAUGUACGAAGAUGAAAGGAAUUGGGUCCUAGGUUCAGUGUUAAACUGUGAUGUUAAAUACCUCUGAAACUAUUCCACCUCUGGGCUAUCACAUGAGAUCAUAAAUCCCUUACUGUUUAAGCCACUUGAGUUAGUUUUAUGUUACUUACAGCUGAAAGAACCCUAAGGGAUAAAGAAAGCUUAUUUUAGGAAGUGCAAGUAAAUCAAACACUGGUGUAUAGGUCUGGUGGAAGGAAAGCUUGAAAAGGAACUCUGAGUCAGAUGGUGAAGAAUGCUGAGUUCCAGGACCGAGCACUAAUGUGAAGACAGGACAGGCUUACAGUUAUGAGCACAGACUCAGGAGUAGACAGUCUGGGCUUGAGCCUCUUUUUUCUACUUGUUAGCUGGGUUACUUAGGUGAGUAAUCAUUUUCAGCAGUAAAUUGGAAUACUGAUCUGGUGUCAUUUUCUAGGGUGGAUUGGAAGUUGGGAAAAUGCGGAGUCAUUGAAAUUAGAAGACUAUUGUGACAAUCCAUUAAUGAAUAAUGAGGGCUUAUGCUCUGGAGAUGGUAAAGGAAACCCAUGGGAAGAGAAGGAUGUAGGAGGUACUAAGAAGGUGGGCUUGGUGAUAGACUGGUUAUGGGACACGGGGCUGAGGAAGGAAUGAAAUCCAGCUGUGUGAUCUCAGUGCUGGAGCAUAGGGUGGGGAAGGGAUGAUGUAUGUGGUGAGGUGGGAAUAAGAAGUGAGGAUGGGAAAUAACUUCCCAUGAUACCCUUUAUGGCGGUGGUGGGGGGUGGUGGAUGGCACUGCAUUUUCUUAGAAUUUCCUCACCACAGAUUCCAUUUUAUGGUUGGUGUCCCAAAAUUCUGAGAUGUUAAGGCCCUCUUCCUGAGUGAGAGAGUAAAUGACGAAGACAUUUAAUUCCAGGCCAUUUUUACUUCAAAUUGCUUGACAGCCACCUGUGUCCAGGAUGAAAAAUGGGAAAUCAUGAGGAAGUAUAAAGUAUAAAGUGAGAAGAUAGAGUUCAAACUCUAGAUCCAUAAUACAGAUAGGAAAUAAAGGAGGGACUGUGCAUAAUAAAGGAGGGGCAGAACUUAAAAGACAGAUUUUGUUAGAAUGAUAUUUUUUUAAUUGAAAAAAAUGUAAGGUGAGAAAACAAAGACUAGUAUUAGUGGAGACAAAGUACAGAGACUGGCUGGGGGAAAUUAGGGUGAUGCAGAUGGAGUGAAUUCCAAAAGAAGAGCGUGCGGCAGGGGACAUGCCCACGUGUCACCGCUUGAGGGGCUACGGGAGCUAGGGGCUGAGAAAAGGGCACAGGCUACAAGAACACGUGACUUUCUGGUGACUUUAAGCUAGGAAUUUCAGUAAGUUUGGCAAAUAUAUGUGCUAAAUUGUUGGAUUGUUAGAGUGAGUGGAGGGGAGACUGUGGGCCAUUAAUGAAAAGUCACAAUGGAAAGUAAAGAUUUGACAAGAAAGGAAAUACCUUUUCAUGUUUAAAGUAGAAAGAAAGGAUCAUAAAUUGAAGAUAUUUUGAAAAGGAGAAUAAUUGAGGGAGCAGAAAUCUGUAGAAGUUAGAGUUAGGAAAUGAGAGAGAGGAGAAGGAGAGAGAGCCCUCAGAAGACAGGGAGGUAGUCUGUGUAUAAACUGAUCUGUAAUCCAAAAAGGUUAGUGAAAAGACUGGUAGGUAUUAUCUAAGGGUAGGGGAAAUGACGCGUUGUGACUUCUCCCUGCAACACCUGAUACCUUCAAGAGAUGGUGAGGAGAAAAUAGACUUUGGAAGGGGUAUGCAAUUUGUAUCCUGUGAUUCAGAAAAAUGGUACAAGGGUAUUAGUGAGAGCAACACUGAAGUGUUUCUGGAGCCCGUUCUCCUGCAGCAAGUUGUGUGUCGGCUUUCAGUGGACAGAGUUCAGGAUUCUAAUCACGGGUCUGCUUUAAUUAGUUGGAAAGUCUUAUUAUUGUUAUAUUUCUUUACUGUAACAGCCGUAGUCUCAUUUAUUUAUAUAAUGGGACACAUUG